rnacentral:tRNA from 1 species
GGUGGGGUGGCAGAGUGGUUGAAUGUACCGGUCUUGAAAACCGGCAGGCCCGUCAGGGUCUCGAGGGUUCGAAUCCCUCCCCCACCG